rnacentral:rRNA from 1 species
UGGGGAAUUUUGCACAAUGGGGGAAACCCUGAUGCAGCGACGCCGCGUGAUUUAGAAGGCCUUCGGGUUGUAAAAAUCUUUUUUACGGGAUGAAAAUGACAGUACCGUAAGAAUAAGGUCUGGCUAAAUACGUUCCAGCAGCCGCGGUAAUACGUAUGGACCUAGCGUUGUCCGGAAUCAUUGGGCGUAAAGGGUACGUAGGCGGCCUAGUAAGUUAGAAGUGAAAUAAUAUAGCUCAACUAUAUAAAGCUUUUAAAACUGAUAGGCUUGCGAGAUGGAAGGGGGAGUUGAAUUUCUAGAGUAGCGGUGAAAUGCGCAGAUAUUAGCAAGAAAACCGGUAGCGAAAGCGACUUUCUGGUCGUCAUCUGGCGCUGGGGUACGAAAGCGUGGGUAGCAAACAGG